ensembl:lncRNA novel transcript
GGAAGGUGUGUGCCUGCCAAUCACUCUAUAGGAAAGGAUGUACCUUUGAAGAGGAACUUUCUGGACCCUCUUAAUUCUGCCAUCAGUGCAGCUCUUCCAGAUAGAGCUUUGGAGCCAAACCCUUCUGAUGAUCCAAGGGCAAGCACAGUCUUCUUGCAAAAAUCUCAAACAGAUGGUGAGACGACACUGUUUUUUCCACCAAGAAGACGACUGAAAACUCUCUGUCAUAAUGAGUGUAUUAUAGAAAGCAUUUAGAGAAACUUACAUUGGUUUAAAAUUUUCAACUUUUCAUAUAUUCACUUGUCCUAUUUUAAUGUGUGAAAUACUUCUCUUUAGUUGUUACUGUGUGAGUGAAAACAUGUAAACUUUCUGUUUAUACAUUUUGCUACCUUUUGGCAACACCAUUUGUCAUGUGAUUUAAGAGUAGUCAUAGAUUUAUCUUUAUUCAUAAUUUUUUAUUCAUAUUUUUUGUCUUUCGCCCUUUUUCCCUUGCUCCAAAGAGUUCAUUUUAAUGAUGAAUGAUAGAAUUUAGGCUUCAGCUUGAUCUUUAUUUAAACAAAUAAAAAAACCAUUUGUUCAUCAA